rnacentral:rRNA from 1 species
GUGGGGAAUAUUGGACAAUGGGCGAAAGCCUGAUCCAGCCAUGCCGCGUGUGUGAAGAAGGUCUUCGGAUUGUAAAGCACUUUAAGUUGGGAGGAAGGGCAGUAAGUUAAUACCUUGCUGUUUUGACGUUACCGACAGAAUAAGCACCGGCUAACUUCGUGCCAGCAGCCGCGGUAAUACGAAGGGUGCAAGCGUUAAUCGGAAUUACUGGGCGUAAAGCGCGCGUAGGUGGUUUUGUAAGUUGGAGGUGAAAUCCCCGGGCUCAACCUGGGAACUGCCUCCAAAACUGCAUGACUAGAGUACGGUAGAGGAUAGUGGAAUUUCCUGUGUAGCGGUGAAAUGCGUAGAUAUAGGAAGGAACACCAGUGGCGAAGGCGACUACCUGGACUGAUACUGACACUGAGGUGCGAAAGCGUGGGGAGCAAACAGGAUUAGAUACCCGGGUAGUCC